rnacentral:rRNA from 1 species
UGGGAAACGAUGUGGGAAGGCACAGACAGCCAGGAUGUUGGCUUAGAAGCAGCCAUCAUUUAAAGAAAGCGUAAUAGAUCACUGGUCGAGUCGGCCUGCGCGGAAGAUGUAACGGGGCUAAACCAUGCACCGAAGCUGCGGCAGCGACACUAUGUGUUGUUGGGUAGGGGAGCGUUCUGUAAGCCUGCGAAGGUGACCUGUGAGGGUUGCUGGAGGUAUCAGAAGUGCGAAUGCUGACAUAAGUAACGAUAAAGCGGGUGAAAAGCCCGCUCGCCGGAAGACCAAGGGUUCCUGUCCAACGUUAAUCGGGGCAGGGUGAGUCGACCCCUAAGGCGAGGCCGAAAGGCGUAGUCGAUGGGAAACAGGUUAAUAUUCCUGUACUUGGUGUUACUGCGAAGGGGGGACGGAGAAGGCUAUGUUAGCCGGGCGACGGUUGUCCCGGUUUAAGCAUGUAGGCUGAUUGUCCAGGCAAAUCCGGAUAAUCAAGGCUGAGGUGUGAUGA